rnacentral:rRNA from 1 species
AUUGAACGCUGGCGGCAUGCUUUACACAUGCAAGUCGAACGGCAGCGCGGGCUUCGGCCUGGCGGCGAGUGGCGAACGGGUGAGUAAUAUAUCGGAACGUACCCAGGAGUGGGGGAUAACGUAGCGAAAGUUACGCUAAUACCGCAUACGUCCUAAGGGAGAAAGUGGGGGAUCGCAAGACCUCAUGCUCAUGGAGCGGCCGAUAUCUGAUUAGCUAGUUGGUGGGGUAAAGGCUCACCAAGGCAACGAUCAGUAGCUGGUCUGAGAGGACGACCAGCCACACUGGAACUGAGACACGGUCCAGACUCCUACGGGAGGCAGCAGUGGGGAAUUUUGGACAAUGGGGGCAACCCUGAUCCAGCAAUGCCGCGUGAGUGAAGAAGGCCUUCGGGUUGUAAAGCUCUUUUGUCAGGGAAGAAGCGACUCCUUCUAAUACAGGGGGUUAAUGACGGUACCUGAAGAAUAAGCACCGGCUAACUACGUGCCAGCCGCCGUAACAC